rnacentral:rRNA from 1 species
AUUGAACGCUGGCGGAAUGCUUUACACAUGCAAGUCGAGCGGCAGCGCGGGGCAACCUGGCGGCGAGCGGCGAACGGGUGAGUAAUACAUCGGAACGUACCCAGGAGUGGGGGAUAACACAUCGAAAGAUGUGCUAAUACCGCAUACGACCUGAGGGUGAAAGGGGGGGAUCGCAAGACCUCUCGCUGCUGGAGCGGCCGAUGUUCGAUUAGCUAGUUGGUGGGGUAAAGGCCUACCAAGGCGACGAUCGAUAGCUGGUCUGAGAGGAUGAUCAGCCACACUGGGACUGAGACACGGCCCAGACUCCUACGGGAGGCAGCAGUGGGGAAUUUUGGACAAUGGGCGCAAGCCUGAUCCAGCCAUUCCGCGUGAGUGAAGAAGGCCUUCGGGUUGUAAAGCUCUUUCGGCAGGAACGAAACGGUGGAGGCUAAUAUCCUCUGCUAAUGACGGUACCUGAAGAAGAAGCACCGGCUAACUCCGUGCCAGCCGCCGCAGUAA